rnacentral:tRNA from 1 species
GGGUCAGCCGGAUACGCCUAAACCAUCCCUCUCACGGUGAGAACACGGGUUCAAAUCCCGUAGGGGACGCCA